rnacentral:rRNA from 1 species
AGGGAAAGUUGAAAAGAACUUCUGAAGAGAGAGUUCAAGAGUACGUGAAACCGCUCAGGGGUAAACGGAAAAGACCUGAAUUUCCGAAAGGGGAGAUUCACGUCCUACCGAAUUUUUUGGCCAUUUUUUUUAUGUAUAAGAGAUGGUCGCUCGCCUUGUCCAGUGAAAACUGUGGCAGUGGGUGUGGCUGCUCGCAUAGGAAAAUUUUUUGGUCAGCGGUGGACCGCACUUCUCCCUUAGUAGGACGUUGCGACCUGUCAAAUAAUAUUCUAAGUAUUGGUUAAAGUGUCUGUAUAAAGAUUUUUACCGAAAGGUUUUUUUUUUUUUACAGUUUUAAUCGUAUUUGUACUGAAUAUUUUUUUUUUUUGAAAGUAUCAAACAAGGGGGUCAAGCCCC